rfam:Schistosoma mansoni strain Puerto Rico chromosome 5, complete genome
AUUCAGCUAACGAGUCCCAAAUGGGACGGAACGCGCGUCAAACUGGAU